AUGAACCGCUUUUAUGGUUUUUUUUCUUUUAUUUUAAUUUUGGUUUGUUUUUUUCUUUUUUGCUUCCUUUCUUCCCAGAAAGCCUGCACCAAACCCAACGGUGAUCAUGUGUGCAAGGUUGAUUGCGGACGCCAAGGUUACGACAAGGAUAAAAGCUAUUGCGCAGCAGACUCUAGUGGCAUUUGCUGCUGUCAAAAGUAA
rnacentral:rRNA from 1 species